rnacentral:tRNA from 1 species
GGCAGAGUGGCUUAGUGGAAAGAGCAUGGGGCUGGGAGUCAGGAGACUUGGGUUCUAGUCCAGGCUCUGCCA